rnacentral:piRNA from 1 species
UGACAGGUGUGACAGGUUCUUAGGGCUGA